UAGCAGUUGGUGUAUAGGCACGUUUUAAUUUGACUGAAAAAGAAUUAGUGUAAUUCUAGUACUGCUAA
rnacentral:tRNA from 1 species